rnacentral:lncRNA from 1 species
UGAGGAAAAGAGAAGUUAUCACUGUGCUAAGCAAUUUGUCUAUAAGGUAGUGAAAGGGAAAAACCUGUUAUAAGAUGGCCAACAGGACUGAUAGGGAAAUUCCAGUCCUGGACCGAAGACCGAAGACUCUCCUUCCGGGUUCUUCUUCCUCCCUGCUUGCCGCGCAGACCAAAUUACUAUUAACGCGGAAUGCGGAAGUAACACUAUAAAUCGUUCCCUCUGCUCAUGCUCUUGGGGCUCAGACCUCUGGAGGGUGAUCUCCUCUGACCCUGCCAGUGUGAAAUAAACCUCCUGCCUUCCAAGAUCUCCAAGCGCCCUUUGGUUCUUCCGCUGGCUGAUCCAGACCAGGUUCCGUAACGUUUGGUUCCCUGACCCAGAACCCAACCACGCUGGCCCGUUGUUGCCACCCGUUUGGGAAAAUGGCGAGGCGGUGAUGAAGGAGGAAUCACGAAAGAAAAGGUGUGACCUACCUGAAUGUCGGCAGUCUCCUGCCCGGUUGCCUCAGGCCCGCCCUGCUCCGCCGUUCCCGCCGGACUCGAGGAGUCCCGUUCCCGCCGGACUCGGAUACCAGUAAGAUUAUGGACACUAUCAUUGCAAAGGAAACUGCCUGGCUGUUUGUGGGCCCAAGCUGAACUCCAGAAAGGCAGUUUAACUUCCACAGAUGAUUUCGUUCUGUCUGCACCAGAGUGA